CAGCCCAGAGCCUGAAUCAGUGUGUGUGUUAGUGGAAGCGUCUGGAAAGGCGUGCGAUACAGGGUGACAGCCCCGUACACAAAAAUGCACAUAUUGUGAGCUUGAUGAGUAGGGCGGGACACGUGGUAUCCUGUCUGAAUAUGGGGGGACCAUCCUCCAAGGCUAAAUACUCCUGACUGACCGAUAGUGAACCAGUACCGUGAGGGAAAGGCGAAAAGAACCCCGGCGAGGGGAGUGAAAAAGAACCUGAAACCGUGUACGUACAAGCAGUGGGAGCACGCUUAGGCGUGUGACUGCGUACCUUUUGUAUAAUGGGUCAGCGACUUAUAUUCUGUAGCAAGGUUAACCGAAUAGGGGAGCCGAAGGGAAACCGAGUCUUAACUGGGCGUUAAGUUGCAGGGUAUAGACCCGAAACCCGGUGAUCUAGCCAUGGGCAGGUUGAAGGUUGGGUAACACUAACUGGAGGACCGAACCGACUAAUGUUGAAAAAUUAGCGGAUGACUUGUGGCUGGGGGUGAAAGGCCAAUCAAACCGGGAGAUAGCUGGUUCUCCCCGAAAGCUAUUUAGGUAGCGCCUCGUGAAUUCAUCUCCGGGGGUAGAGCACUGUUUCGGCAAGGGGGU
rnacentral:rRNA from 1 species